rnacentral:rRNA from 1 species
UUGCACGCUGGCGGCAGGCCUAACACAUGCCAGUCGAGCGGAUGAAGGGAGCUUGCUCCUGGAUUCAGCGGCGGACGGGUGAGUAAUGCCUAGGAAUCUGCCUGGUAGUGGGGGAUAACGUCCGGAAACGGGCGCUAAUACCGCAUACGUCCUGAGGGAGAAAGUGGGGGAUCUUCGGACCUCACGCUAUCAGAUGAGCCUAGGUCGGAUUAGCUAGUUGGUGGGGUAAAGGCCUACCAAGGCGACGAUCCGUAACUGGUCUGAGAGGAUGAUCAGUCACACUGGAACUGAGACACGGUCCAGACUCCUACGGGAGGCAGCAGUGGGGAAUAUUGGACAAUGGGCGAAAGCCUGAUCCAGCCAUGCCGCGUGUGUGAAGAAGGUCUUCGGAUUGUAAAGCACUUUAAGUUGGGAGGAAGGGCAGUAAGUUAAUACCUUGCUGUUUUGACGUUACCAACAGAACAAGCACCGGCUAACUUCGUG